rnacentral:tRNA from 1 species
GCCCGAUUGGUGAAGUGGCAUCACGCGACUAUGCCAACGUCGGUUCGCAGGUUCGAUUCCUGCAUCGGGCA